rnacentral:lncRNA from 10 species
AUCCUGGUCUCCGCGUGUGUGAGUACCGCGGCGCGAGGUUAGUGGUAGCUGGGUGCAGACGCCGUGGCGCUGGAGACCCAAACAUGGCAAACCUGGAAGAAAGCUUCCCCCGAGGAGGUACAAGAAAGAUCCACAAACCAGAGAAAGCUUUCCAGCAGUCAGUUGAACAAGACAACUUAUUUGAUGCUGAAGUGCAGUGUUGUGAUCUCAGCUCACUGCAACCUCCACUUCUUGGUUCAAGCAAUUCUCCUGUAUCAGCCUCCCGAGUACCUGGGACUA